UGUGAAAUCCCAAAGCUUAACUUUGGAACUGCAAUUAAAACUGCUCGACUAGAGUUUGAUAGAGGAAAGCGGAAUACAUAGUGUAGAGGUGAAAUUCGUAGAUAUUAUGUAGAACACCAGUUGCGAAGGCGGCUUUCUGGAUCAACACUGACGCUGAGGCGCGAAAGUAUGGGUAGCAAAGAGGAUUAGAUACCCUCGUAGUCCAUACCAUAAACGAUGAUUGCUAGAUGUUGGAAAUUUAUUUUCAGUAUCGCAGCUAACGCAUUAAGCAAUCCGCCUGGGGAGUACGACCGCAAGGUUAAAACUCAAAUGAAUUGACGGGGACCCGCACAAGCGGUGGAGCAUGUGGUUUAAUUCGAAGAUACGCGCAGAACCUUACCAACCCUUGACAUGUCUGUCGCGAGUUUAGGAAACUAGACUUUUCGGUUCGGCCGGACAGAACACAGGUGCUGCAUGGCUGUCGUCAGCUCGUGUCGUGAGAUGUUGGGUUAAGUCCCCCAACGA
rnacentral:rRNA from 1 species